rfam:Cyanothece sp. ATCC 51142 circular chromosome, complete sequence.
AGGAGCCGUGUGCGCUGAAAGGUGCAAGCACGGUUUUGAAGCCGAGUCAUAAAGGCGACUUUAU